AAGUCGUAACAAGGUUUCCGUAGGUGAACCUGCGGAAGGAUCAUUAUUGAAUAAACCUGAUGUGAUUGUUAGCUGGCUUUUAGAAGCAUGUGCUCGUCCGUCAUCUUUAUCUCUCCACCUGUGCACAUUUUGUAGUCCUUGGAUAUCUCUCGAGGAAACUCGGAUUUUAGAAUCGCUGUGCUGUACAAGUCGGCUUUUCUUUCAUUUCCAAGACUAUGUUUUUAUAUACACCAAAGUAUGUUUAUAGAAUGUCAUCAAUGGGAACUUGUUUCCUAUAAAAUUAUACAACUUUCAGCAACG
rnacentral:misc_RNA from 1 species